rnacentral:RNase_P_RNA from 1 species
AGACUUGACUUGGCAAUCGCUGUCGCGAUUAUGAGGCAGAGGAAAGUCCGGACUCCAUAGGACAGGACGCCGGGUAACGCCCGGGAGUUUAUCUGUAAUGGAUAGAUUACGGAAAGUGCCGCAGAAAAAAUACCGCCCAUUUCGGUGUAUUCCGUUUUGGGUAAGGGUGAAAUGGCAGGUUAAGAGCCUACCGCAUGAAUGGUAACAUUCGUGGCAAGGUAAACCCCGUCCGGAGCAAAGCCAAGCAGAAGACACUUCCCGUUUACGGGAUGGAGGACUGUCCGUCCAAUGUCUUCGGGUAGGCCGCUUGAGGUGAAAAGUAAUUUUCAUCCCAGAUAAAUGAUUGCCUUCGGUUUAUUGUUACAAUAUGAGCUUACAUCGUAAUGAUUUUCAUUUUUAAAAGAUCCAUGUACCCACCCGGCAUAUAGUGUCGGGCGCACCGCUGCGCCUUUUUGUGUAGUUCGUUUUGUUACUAUUUUUAAACCGAAACAGAAUCCGGCUUAGAAGUCAGGUCUAUAU